AGACAACAGGAUGUCCUUCUUUAAUCCCCUCAUCAGGUAGAUCUACAAAAACCCUUCGCCCCAACCGACAGACCCUCCGCGUCCUCUGACAGACAACUCAGGAGCCCGAAGAACAAGGAAGAAGAGUCAGGGAAGGCUUGGAGGAGUGUCUCUUCUGUUCUGCUUCAGACCUAGGCCGCUUUCUAGCGAGAGGAGGUUUGGAGGAUUCUCUCUUCCGUUCAGCUCGUCGAACAAACCCGCUGUCCCUCGGC